rnacentral:rRNA from 1 species
AUGGAGGAGAUCAACAAGGCUCUGGCGGACCUGACGGCGGCCAUCAGCGGCAUGUCCGCCCAGAUCAGUGAGAUCCACCCGGUGGUUCUCGAGCUUCAAGGAUGGCGCCCGGCGAUCGAGCGAUCCGUCGACGAGCUACGGGCGGAGGUGACCGAUCUUCGCCAACACAUCCAGGCACCGCGCCCAGCGGCCGCGCAGGCGCCGGAUCCGGCGCUGCUGAAGGAAACGGCGCCCUCGGUCCGCCUCUCCGACCUGCCGCCUCUGCUUCCAGACAUGGCCGGCACGUCUCUCCAUCGACCAGGCGAGCAGCCACACGCUCGCGGUGACGGCAGUCACGGGCCCGAUGGCCGCGGUGUCGCACAUGAUCUUCGGGGGAAAUCGGUGGGGGAGAUUCACUCCCCACGAUUGCCUCCGGCCACUGGUCCGUACGAUCUCCUUCCGUAUGGCGAGCAGUCGUUCUCAGGGGACCGGGGAUAUCACCGUUUGCCACCACCUCCGCGGUUCGAUUUCCCUGUUUUCGACGGGACGAACCCGAAGGCUUGGCGUCUUAAAUGUGAAGCUUACUUCCGCGUUUGCACCCUUAGCCCUGACACUUGGGUCAGUUGCGCUGCCAUGUAUUUCACAGAUGGGGCUCUCACUUGGCUCCAGUCCUCCCAAGCUCACUUGCAUUAUCAGGAUUGGGGGGGUUUUGCUGCCGCGAUCUGCGCCCAGUUUGGGCGUGAGGAAUUCCAGAACCUGUUAAGGCAGUUUAAUAGGUUGAAACAAACGAGCACAGUGGCAGAAUAUGCAGAGCAAUUUACUCAAAUUAUGCAUCACCUUCUAGCACAUCACCCCUCUUGGGAUCCUGCAUUUUUUGUUACCCAGUUCAUGGAGGGUUUGCAACGUGAUAUUCGUGCAGCUGUUGUUUUGCAUAGACCACAAACUCUGGAUACUGUUGUGGAUCUCGCCUUUUUGCAGGAGGAGGUGGUGGACUCUUUCCGGCGGGAUGAUCGGCGUCACUCGUCUCCACCAUCGCUACCAGCGGUUGGACGCGCCACGCCGCGCACGGCGCUGCCGCUCCCACUACCCCCGCCGAAGCCAGGCGUCGGGGUACCGGAUGCGCGGCGAGAGGGUCGCCGCAACAACGACAAUAACAACAAGUCCACCUCUAAUGAGGACAAGCUGGCGGCUCUCCGUGCUUAUCGUCGUGCCAAGGGCCUUUGCUUCACCUGCGGCGAGCGGUGGAGUCGCGAGCACCGGUGCGGCCCUACGGUUCAACUACAUGUCGUCGAAGAGCUCAUUGAAAUGCUCCAGGGCCAGCCUACCGAGCAAGAGCAAAAGGAAACAGCACCGAGCGAAGCGGACUGCUGUGUUCUGUCCAAGGAAGCCCUCGAAGGUGCCGAAUCACCCACAACAAUGCGGUUGCACGGCUGGGUGCAGGACCGAGAGGUUUUGAUGUUGGUGGAUUCUGGAUCCUCUCAUAGCUUUGUCAGCUCGACCUUGGCUCAUCACCUGCAAGGGGUCCAGAGCGCGCGCCGGCCACUAUCGGUGCGCGUCGCUAAUGGAGGUGUUCUUCGCAGUGACCUGGAGAUAUCCAAGUGCGAAUGGCGUUCCCAGGGGGUCAAAUUCGCCACUGACAUGAAAGUCUUGCCCCUGGGAUGCUACGAUGUGAUACUGGGAAUUGAUUGGCUGGCUUGCCACAGUCCGAUGCGGGUGCAUUGGCUGGAGAAAACAAUGGAUUUCCAACGCAACGGAGUUCCUGUGCACCUCUGCGGUGCCCGUGCUGAUGUUACUAGAUGUGAUCUCAUCUCAGGGGCGGAACUGCAUCACCUGCUCGAGGAAAAGGCAGUCACCAGGGUGGUCCAACUAUGUGCUACUGCGCAAGAUAUGAAGCAGCCCCCAUUACCAGAAGCAAUUGGGAAUCUCAUCGAGCAGUAUGGCGUGUUGUUUGAAGAGCCAAAAGGGCUGCCGCCACAGAGAGCGUUUGACCAUUCGAUUCCGCUGGUUCCCGGAGCACGUCCAGUGAAUCUGCGCCCAUACAGACACAGUCCAGCACAGAAGGACGAAGUGGAGAGGCAAGUGGCCGAGAUGUUAGCACAGGGCAUCAUUCAGCCCAGCGUGAGCCCUUUUGCAUCUCCCGUAUUGCUGGUGCAGAAAAAAGACCUCACUUGGCGAUUCUGCGUCGAUUAUCGGCACCUCAAUGCGGUAACCAUCAAGAAUCGUUACCCCUUACCAGUCAUCGAGGAACUCUUGGACGAGUUGGCAGGCUCCCGCUUGUUUACAAGCUUGGACCUACGAGCAGGCUACCAUCAGAUCCGCAUGAGGCCGGAGGAUGAGCACAAAACGGCUUUCAAGACGCAUCACGGGCACUUCGAAUUCAAGGUGAUGCCAUAUGGUGUGACGGGAGGUCCAUCAACCUUUCAAGGAGGCAUGAACAUUGUCCUAUCACCACUGCUUCGCAAGGGCGUGCUGGUUUUCAUAGAUGACAUCUUGAUACACAGUGAAGACGAAGAUUCGCAUCUCAGCCUGCUCCAGCAAGUCUUCCAACUCCUGCAGAAACACAGCCUGAAGGUCAAGCUUAGCAAGUGCUCCUUCGCGCAGCCAAAAUUGGUCUACUUGGGCCAUGAAAUCAGUGGGGAUGGCGUGCGCACCGAUCACAAGAACAUUCUGGCCGUUCAGCAAUGGCCUGUGCCCAGCAAUAUCAAGGAAGUGCGUGGGUUCUUAGGCCUGGCAGGGUAUUACCGCAAGUUUGUGCGAGGAUUCGCAGUCACCAGUCGACCACUCACAGAUUUGCUCAAGAAAGGCGUCGUGUUUCGCUGGACAUACCUCGAAGACGGUGCUUUCCGUGCCCUUCAGCAGGCGUUGGUUACUGCGCCGGUGCUGGCGCUACCCAACUUCACAAAAACCUUCGAGUUGGAGACAGACGCAUUAGAUCAAGGCAUUGGAGCAGUACUCUCCCAGAAUGGGCACCCGAUCGGGUACUUGAGCCGUGCGUUGGGGCCACGCAACCGGCUCCUGAGCACAUAUGAGAAGGAAGGCCUGGCGAUCCUGAUGGCAGUGGAUCACUGGCACACCUACCUCCAGAACGAUGAGUUCAUUGUGCAUACCGAUCAGCGAAGCCUCAUCCACCUGGAAGAUCAACGCCUGGCCACUCCGUGGCAACAAAAGAUAAUGGCUAAACUGUUGGGACUGCGCUACCGCAUUGUGUACAAGAAAGGAGUUGACAACCGCGCCGCAGACGCCCUCUCGCGUGUACCAAGGCCUCCCCAGGGCGACUUGGCAGCUAUUACCACUGCAGUACCAGCCUGGCUUGAGGCAGUCCAGCAAGGGUACGAUGGCGAUCCUGCGGCUCAACGCCUGCUGGCUCGCUUGGCCACACAGCAAGGCAACCUUGAUGGGUAUACCUUACAGGAAGGCAUUAUUCGGCAACAUGGGCGCAUUUGGCUCGGUGACAAUGUGGACUUGCAGAAACAAGUACUGGAUGCGCUCCACACAGGAGCAAUUGGGAGUCACUCUGGAUUUAAUGCAACCUACCGACAAGUUCGCCGCUUGUUCACCUGGCCUGGACUGAAACACCAUGUCAAGCUCUUCGUGGAGGCAUGCCAGAUAUGCAAGCAGGCCAAGCCGGAACGGGUUCGUUACCCCGGCCUCCUGGAGCCACUCCCGGUACCCACCCAAGCAUGGCAGAUGAUCACAAUGGAUUUCGUGGAGGGCCUUCCCCGCUCCUCUGGCUGCAACUCCAUCUUAGUGGUUGUGGACAAGUUCUCUCGCUAUGCCCAUUUCAUCGCCUUAUCCCACCCAUUCACAGCCUUCCAAGUGGCGCAGGCGUUUGUGGCUCACAUCUACAAGCUCCAUGGGCUGCCCGAGUCCAUUGUCUCUGACCGGGAUCCAGUUUUCACGAGCACCCUGUGGAAGGAACUGUUCCGUCUCACUCAUACCAAGCUGCGGAUGAGCACGGCGCGCCACCCGCAAACGGACGGACAAACGGAGCGGGUCAAUCAGUGUCUCGAGACCUUCCUUCGCUGCUUCGUUCAUGCGUGCCCUACCAAAUGGUAUGUCUGGUUACCUCUUGCUGAAUUUUGGUAUAACACUUCACCACACUCUGCUCUGGGCUCCACGCCAUUUGAGAUUCUCUACGGGCGGGCGCCUCGCUACUUCGGCAUCAUCGACCCCGUCGCGUGUACCUCCCCGGACUUGUCUGACUGGCUGCAGGACCGUGCGCAAAUGGAGGCUCUGAUCCGUCAGCAUCUUCUCCGCGCACGCCAAGCCAUGAAGGAUUCCGCCGACAAGCGUCGAUCUGAUCGGGUGUUCGCCGUCGAUGACUGGGUCUUCCUCAAGCUACAACCGUACGUACAGCGCUCGGUGGCCACUCGUGCCAAUCAGAAGCUGGCUUUCCGUUACUUCGGGCCGUACAAGGUUCUUCAACGCAUUGGCGCGGUCGCGUACAAGCUACAACUCCCAGACUCCAGCUCGAUACACCCGGUGUUCCAUGUUUCUCAGCUACGUCAAGCUCUCCCGCCAACGGAACAAGUCCAAGACCAGCUUCCGGCAGCAGCAGCGGCAAGCCCAGUUCCAGAGGAGAUCUUGGAGCGCCGGACUGUGCAACGCGGCCGCUCGGAAGUGCCUCGGCUGUUGGUGCGUUGGACCGAUCAACCACCAGAGUUCGCGACCUGGGAGGAUUCAGAAGACCUUCGACAACAUUUUCCCCGGGCACCAGCUUGGGGGCAAGCUGUGUCUCCAGGAGGAGGGGGUGUUACGGCCUCCGUUCCCCCUGGCCCGGUCACCACCAACGCUGGGGCCUCGACUACUGCUGCACCCGCUGGGCCGGAACGGCCCCGUCGACAAGUCAAGCCCAACAGGCGGCUGACGGCCCAAGUCUGGGACACUACUCGCUAG